rnacentral:rRNA from 1 species
CCUGGGGGCGUGCCUUAUACAUGCAAGUCGAGCGAAUGGAUUAAGAAGCUUGCUCCUUAUGAAGUUAGCGGCGGACGGGUGAGUAACACGUGGGUAACCUGCCCAUAAGACUCGGGAUAACUCCGGGAAACCGGGGCUAAUACCGGAUAACAUUUUGAACUGCAUGGUUCGAAAUUGAAAGGCGGCUUCGGCUGUCACUUAUGGAUGGACCCGCGUCGCAUUAGCUAGUUGGUGAGGUAACGGCUCACCAAGGCAACGAUGCGUAGCCGACCUGAGAGGGUGAUCGGCCACACUGGGACUGAGACACGGCCCAGACUCCUACGGGAGGCAGCAGUAGGGAAUCUUCCGCAAUGGACGAAAGUCUGACGGAGCAACGCCGCGUGAGUGAUGAAGGCUUUCGGGUCGUAAAACUCUGUUGUUAGGGAAGAACAAGUGCUAGUUGAAUAAGCUGGCACCUUGACGGUACCUAACCAGAAAGCCACGGCUAACUACGUGCAAAGCCCCCCGCAGUUA